rnacentral:rRNA from 1 species
CCUACGGGGUGCAGCAGUGGGGAAUAUUGGACAAUGGGCGAAAGCCUGAUCCAGCCAUGCCGCGUGUGUGAAGAAGGCCUUCGGGUUGUAAAGCACUUUCAGUGGGGAAGAAAGCCUUGGGGCUAAUACCCUCGAGGAAGGACAUCACCCACAGAAGAAGCACCGGCUAACUCCGUGCCAGCAGCCGCGGUAAUACGGAGGGUGCGAGCGUUAAUCGGAAUUACUGGGCGUAAAGCGCGCGUAGGCGGUCUGAUAAGCCGGUUGUGAAAGCCCCGGGCUCAACCUGGGAACGGCAUCCGGAACUGGCAGGCUAGAGUGCAGGAGAGGAGGGUAGAAUUCCCGGUGUAGCGGUGAAAUGCGUAGAGAUCGGGAGGAAUACCAGUGGCGAAGGCGGCCUUCUGGACUGACACUGACGCUGAGGUGCGAAAGCGUGGGUAGCAAACAGGAUUAGAUACCCGAGUAGUC